UUUUUGAGAACUUAGCAAUUGUUAUUCAAAAUCAAGGUUUAUAUUGGUGCAUUAGAUUUUGUAAAAUAUAAUUAGGGCUAGUAAUUUUGGCUAGCUUGUGCAAUUGGUAUGAUGACUACGGUUGAAAAUUUGAUAGUAUUUGGAUUAUUGGGUGCUAAGUGUAUACAAAAUUUUGUAAUAAUCUAAUGGCGUGGUUUAGAGAUAUCUAAUUUUUAGCACAAGAGAGUUUUAGAAGGUGGCAGUUUGAGGUUGGAUAGGAUUUUUGUGAUAUCUUGAGAUCUAUUAGUUGGAUCAAGGUAAAAUUUGGCAUAGUAUUGAAGGACUUGAAGAUAAAGUUGCACACCAAUUUAGAGUCAAAGUUAAUGGUUGAAAAGGAAAAAAUCACAGCUAGGAUUUCUGCUUGACUUUUCUAGUUGGUGGCUGAGUGGCACCAUAGUACAAUUUUUGGAGGUUUUUU
rnacentral:lncRNA from 1 species